rnacentral:rRNA from 1 species
UACAGGGGGGGGCAAGCGUUGUUCGGAAUUACUGGGCGUAAAGGGCGCGUAGGCGGCCUUCUAAGUCGAACGUGAAAUCCCCGGGCUCAACCCCGGGAACUGCGUCCGAUACUGGAAGGCUUGAAUCCGGGGAGAGGGAUGCGGAAUUCCGAGGUGUAGCGGUGAAAUGCGUAGGAUAUCUGGAGGACACCGGUGGCGAAGGCGGCAUCCUGGC